rnacentral:lncRNA from 1 species
UAUCAAAUGAAGGAUACAGCUAGCAAGGUCAAAAACAGUGAAUACAUACCCUAGACAGUAUCAAAUGAAAGAUACAACUGACAAGGUCUAAAACAGUGAAUACAGACCCCAGACAUUAUCAAAUGAAAGAUACAGCUGACAAGGUCUAAAACAGUGAAUACAGACCCUAGACAGUAUCAAAUGAAAGAUACAACUGACAAUGUCUAAAACAGUGUAAUUCUAAGAGUUUGUUUCCAGCAUAUAGUGUUAAAUAUCGUUACCUUAAGACCAUGAAUUAUAAGGUAACAUGGAAUACUUGUAACCAUACUAAUCGAGACUAGAGUACUUGACGCCCUACAAGCGUCAGUGUAAGUAUCACAUUUGUCACCCCUUGGCUUGGUAGGCCUUUGGACUGUAGCUAGCAGUCAGGGUGCAGGGGUGUCAAUCCCGUAUAGAUCUAUACACACGAUGUCCGCUCUCCCCACAAGAGACUCUGGUUACCAACUAGACAAUGGAGAAGGCUGUGUCCUGAAGA